GCCAGAGUAAUUUUGCCAGUCUGACCAGAGCUUGUGCUAACCUUGUUUUGUUUCGCUGCUUCCUGCUAGUACCUGUGAGGCGUGGGCGGUUUCCUCUCAACCUGGACCUGGACAUCCAGAACCUCUUUCAAACAGUUUGUGAUUUUUGGACUAUGACCACUAGACUGUGGUUUGGCUCCUGUGUAAACACAGACUUGCUGUAGACCGUUCUUUAUUGGACUACCUGACUCCCAAGCCCGACGGUAAAAGAUCUCCCUGGAGUUUUCUGCUGUGACUCAUAAUGACUUCCGAGAUAAACUAUGAUGUGGGGGAUCGUGAACUCCUGGCCAUCAAGCUCGCCCUGGAGGAGUGGCAUCACUGGCUCGAGCGCACAGAACAUCGGUGCUGGUCUGGACGGAUCACAAGAACCUUUCCUAUCUCCAGUCAGCAAAAAGACUGAACCCAUGACUGUCCCGUUGGUCCCUAUUCUUCUCUCGGUUCAACCUCAUCAUCUCAUAUCGCCGUGGGACAAAGAAUGUUAAGCCUGACGCUCUCUCCUGUCAGUUUUCGCCUGAUGUGACCUGUCAGGGUCCAGACACCAUUCUUCCACCUAGCUGCAAGACCGGCUGUUACAUGGGAGAUCAAUAAAUUGGUCACUCAAGCAUUACUUACAGACCCUGGUCCUACCAACUACCCCCCGAACAAGACUUUUGUUCCUCUAUCUGUUCGUUCCCGUUUGAUACAAUGGUUUCACAACUCUAAGUUCUCUGUACAUCCUGGUUCGUUCCACACCAUCGCCCUGAUCUCUUGUCGUUUCUGGUGGCCCUGUCUACAUAACGACAUCAAGGGCUUUGUGGGGGCCUGCACAACCUGUGCCUGAAGUAAACCCCCCGCUGGACUCCUUCAACCACUGCCCAUACCUAAAAGGCCUUGGUCACAUAUAGCACUGGACUUUGUUACUGGGUUACCACCCUCACGUGGUAUGACCACUAUCCUGACAGUGGUGGACAGGUUCUCCAAGUCAUGUCACCUGGUCGCUUUGACCUGUUGACUCUGCUACAGGUGUUCUUGAUCAUUGGUUGAUUGUGUACCUGGGAGGAGUAUUUAGGAGCCAGCCAGAGUGUAUUGCCAAUGUGGUAAUCACCAAGCCAGAGUAAUUUUGCCAGUCUGACCAGAGCUUGUGCUAACCUUGUUUUGUUUCUCUGCUUCCUGCUAGUGCCUGUGAGGUGUGGGUGGUUUCUUCUCAACCUGGACCUGGACAUCCAGAUUUUGAGAAUUUUGAGGAUUUAUUUCUAUGAAGCCAGUACUAACCAGUACCUCUCUCUUUAGUAAAUCCGAGAAGUCUGAAGUACCUGCCUGAGCACUCUCGACCGGGUUCUGGCGUGACAAGUAUUACUGACUGCAAAUAAAACCUUGAACCUUA